AGUAGAGACGGGGUUUCACCAUGUUGGCCAGGCUGGUCUUGAACUCCUGAAGAACUGUAUUUUUUUUUUUGCUAACACCCGCGUCUUCUACUCCAGCCUUGCUUGGGUGAUGGUCCCACCAGGCUUCCAAGAUGGACUCCUCACUUCUUCUCAUUCCCAGAAUUUACCUGCUGGCCAAGCCUCUGCCUGGAAUCUCCCAGUUCAUCCUCCCUCUCCACACCUGUGAUCUCUGCAGAGGUACUAUCAUUGCCCCAUUUUACAGAUGAAGAAACAGAGGCUUCGGCUGCUUGCCCGAGAUCCUGCGGCGGUUCUGGAGGUCAGACGUCUAAAAUCAAGGUGUCAACAGGACUGCGUUCCUUUCUGGAGGAAACAGGAAACCUUCACCCCAGCCCUGUUCCCUGCCUCUGUCCCAUGCUUGUGGUCUCCAGCGAGGAAGGCUUCUCUGAGCUUCAAAAGGCAUUCUGGGUGCUCUAGUUGAAGGGCAGCUUUCAUGCCUGCGGUUCCCUCAUCGGGGCAUGAGCUCUUCCACCACGUUUCUACUGACCUCUCCUGACCCCCACGGCUGGGUCAGGGCCCGGUGCAGUCCCCGACACGGCGCUGAUGGUCCAGUGAUGGCCUUGCCAGGUGACAUGUCCCUCUGCCUGACCCCCACCCUGGGCACUGGGAGCCCCUCAAGGGCUGGGACCAGGUGGGUCUUGGAGACUGCUCCGUCCCAACGCCUGGCUUUGGGCCCUGCAUGCAGCUGUUACUAAAUAAGUAUUUAUUGAA